AUUGCACGCUGGCGGCAGGCCUAACACAUGCAAGUCGCGCGGAUCGGCGGACGGGUGAGUAAUGCCUAGGAAUAUGCCUGGUAGUUGGGGAUAACGACCGCAAACGGGCGCUAAUACCGCAUACUCACAGAUGAGCCUAGGUCGGAUUAGCUAGUUGGUGGGGUAAAGGCCUACCACGGCGACGAUCCGUAACUGGUCUUAGAGGAGGAUCAGUCACACUGGAACUGAGACACGGUCCAGACUCCUACGGGAGGCAGCAGUGGGGAAUAUUGGACAAUGGGCGAAACGCUGAUCCAGCCAUGCCGCGUGUGUGAAGAAGGUCUUCGGAUUGUAAAGCACUUUAAGUUGGGAGGCGUUACCAACAGAAUAAGCACCGGCUAACUUCGUGCCAGCAGCCGCGGUAAUUC
rnacentral:rRNA from 1 species